ACGACUCUCGGCAACGAAUAUCUCAGCUCUCGCAUCGAUGAAGAACGUAGCGAAAUGCGAUACUUGGUGUGAAUUUUAGAAUCCCAUGAACCAUCAAGUCUUUGAACUCAAGUUGAGCACCAAGCCAUUAGGCCGAGGGCACGCUUGCCUUGUGUCAUGCACCAUCGCUCCCCUUCCGACACCCCUCCCAUCGUGCUUCGGGGGAAGGGGCGGGUGAAAGAUGGCCUCCCGCGAUCCCGUGGGUCGCGGUUGGCCUAAAAGCGAGUCCUCGGUAAUGACAACGACAUGACCAUCGGUGGUAAAGCUCUUGGCGUGCCUCAUCCCCAAUGACACGUGCUCGUUGUCCACCUGGACCCCUUUGGACCCCCUUCAUUUCUCGAUCGAUGCUUGUGUCGUGACCUCAGUUCAGGUAGGAUCACACGCAGAGUUUAAGCAUAUCAAUAAGCAGAGGAAAAGAAACUUACCAAUAUUCCCCUAGUAAUGGUGAGCGAAUCAGGAAGAGCCCAGCUUGAGAAUCGGGCACCCUCGGCAUUCGAAUUGUAAUUUGGAGAAGCGUCCUCAAUGGUGGACCAGGCCCAAGUCCCCUGGAAAGAGGCACGAGAGACGGUGAGAGCCCCGUUGUGCCCGGACCCUGUCGCACCAUGAGGUGCUGUCUGUGAGUUGGGUUGUUUGGGAAUGCAGCCCCAAUCGGGUGAUAAAUUUCGUCCAAGGCUAAAUACGAGUGAAAGACCGAUAGCGAACAAGUAUAGCGAGGGAAAGAUGAAAAUGACUUUGAAAAGAGAUUCAAAGAGUGCUUGAAAUUGUCGAGAGGGAAGCGGAUAGGGGCCAGCGAUGUGCCCCGAUUGGAUGUGGAACGGUGAGAGUCGAUCCGUCGAUCGGCUCGGGGUGUGGACCGACUGCGGGUCGCGAUGGUGGCCCAAGCUCGAGCUUUCAAUGUGCCCAUGGAGACGUGGUCACCAUGAUCAUAGAACCCAGCAUGCACCAUCUCGGUCGUGCCCCAGCAUCGACAUGCUUCAGGCGUCAGCCUGCGGGCUCCCCAGCCGGCCCGUCUUGAAACACGGACCAAUGAGUCUGACAUGCGUGCAGUCAAUGGGCCAGAAAACUCGUAAGGCACAAGGAAGCUGAUUGCCAGAUCCCUCGCGGAUGCACCACCGAUCGACUUGAUCUUCUGAGAAGGGUUCGAGUGUGAGCAUGCCCAUCGAGACUCGAAAGACGGUGAACUAUGCCUGAGCGAGGCGAAGCCAGAGGAAACUCUAGUGGAGGCUCGCAGUGAUACUGACGUGCAAAUCAUUCGUCUGACUUGGGUAUAGGGGCAAAGACUAAUCGAACUAUCUAGUAGCUGGUUCCCUCUGAAAUUUCCCUCAGGAUAGCUGGAGCCCCCAUCGAGUUCUAUCAAGUAAAGCCAAUGAUUAGAGGCAUUGGGGGUGCAACGCCCUUCUAUUCUCAAACUUUAAAUAGGUAGGACGGUGCGGUUGCUUCAUUGAGCCGCGCCACAAAAUCGAGAGCUCUAAGUGGGCCAUUUUUGGUAAGCAGAACUAGCGAUGUAGGAUGAACCGAAAGUCAGGUUACUGUACCCAACUGCACGCUAACCCAGAACCCACAAAGGGUGUUGGUCGAUUAAACAGCAGGAUGGUGGUCAUGGAAUUUGAAAUCCAUUAAGGAGUGUGAAACAACUCACCUGUCGAAUCAACUAGCCCUAAAAAUGGAUGGCAUUUAAGCGCGUGACCUAUACCCGACUGUCGGGGCAAGGGCUAGGCCCUGAUGAGUAGGAGGGUGUGGUGGUCAUCACAAAACUCGAGGUGUGAGCCCGGGUGAAGCGACCGUCGGUGCAGAUCUUGUUGGUAGUAGCAAAUAUUCAAAUGAGAACUUUGAAGGCUGAAAAGAGGAAAGGUUCCAUGUGAACGACACUUGCACAUGGGUUAGUCGAUCCUAAGAGACGGGGAAAGCCCACCCGAUAGCACAUCCCGCACGAGUUUUGAAAGGGAAUCGAGUUAAAAUUCCUGAAUCGAGACACGAUGGCUGAUGGUAACGUUAAGGAGUCCAGAGACAUCGACGGGGGCCUCGGGAAGAGUUAUCAUUUCUAUUUAAUGGCCUACCCACCCUGGAAAUGGCUCAACCAGAGGUAGGGUCCAGUGGUCGGAAGAGCACCGCACGUCACGUGGUGUCCAAUGCACCCCCGGUGACCCUUGAAAAUUCAGAGAAUCGAGUGUCGUCCGUGCCCGAUCGUACUCAUAACUGCUUCAGGUCUCUAAGGUGAAUAGCCUCUAGUCGAUGGAACAAUGUAGGCAAGGGAAGUCGACAAAAUGGAUCCGUAACCUCAGGAAAAGGAUUGGCUCUGAGGGCUGGGCAUGGGGGUCCCAGUCUCGAAAUCAUUGGCUGUCGGUGCACUACUCAAGCUGCUCCUACGGUGAGAGAGGGUCACCACGUGCUGGUCGAGGGAUGGACUGGGAACUGCUCCCUCAGGGGCCUUCCUCGGGUGACAAACAAUUGACUUAGAAUU
rnacentral:rRNA from 1 species